rnacentral:rRNA from 1 species
UACGGGGGGGGGUAAGCGUUGUUCGGAAUUACUGGGCGUAAAGGGCUCGUAGGUGGCCAACUAAGUCAGACGUGAAAUCCCUCGGCUUAACCGGGGAACUGCGUCUGAUACUGGAUGGCUUGAGUUCGGGAGAGGGAUGCGGAAUUCCAGGUGUAGCGGUGAAAUGCGUAGAUAUCUGGAGGAACACCGGUGGCGAAGGCGGCAUCCUGGACCGACACUGACGCUGAGGAGCGAAAGCCAGGGGAGCAAACGGGG